CAUUAACGACAGGGGAGCGCCGCCGUCGGCCCCGGCACCAGCCGGGAAACGCAGGUGGGCGCUGAGAGUGCGGACAGCCGCAGACCCUCGAACCUGAUCCGGUUAGUACCGGCGCAAGGGAGUCGAGUUCUCGAAGUG
rnacentral:ncRNA from 2 species